AAGCUUCUCGACCCAUAGUCACUCACACCUCACACUCACAAGUCACAACAGCCGCCGCUGACCGCUCCCAACCGUGCUGCGUCCGGCGCCGUCGCAGUCUCGCACAGACGGCCAAGUCGCACCCAGCAGUCGCGGCGCUCCUCGUCACCGUCGCUCCUCGGUCCUCCUGGGUCCUAGUCACCGCCGCUGCUCCAUCUAGCCGUCGUCGCCGCUGCUCCGUCUAGCCGUCGUCGCCGCUGAUCGUCGGUCCUGGGCUCCUGGGUCCUGGCCAUCGGUGCUGCUCGCCUGUCCUCUCGCUCUCUGGGUCUGCUCGUCUGUCCUCAUCGCUGCUGCUCCUCGCUUCCUCUGUCCUGUUCGUCGGCUCGUCGCUGCUGUUAUUCUGGAUUUCUGGACCAAAAGCACGUUGCCCUCCCACAAUGGCCAACACAU